GGUUAAGUGAAUAAGGGCGCACGGUGGAUGCCUUGGCACUAGGAGCCGAUGAAGGACGGGACUAACACCGAUAUGCUUUGGGGAGCUGUACGUAAGCUAUGAUCCAGAGAUUUCCGAAUGGGGGAACCCAACAUCUUUAAUAGGAUGUUACGAUUGUGUGAAUACAUAGCACAUUCGAGGUAGACGCAGAGAACUGAAACAUCUAAGUACCUGCAGGAAGAGAAAGAAAAUUCGAUUCCCUGAGUAAGCGGCGAGCGAAACGGGAAAAGCCCAAACCAGCAAGCUUGCUUGUUGGGGUUGUAGGACUCCAAUAUGGUAGUUUCUUUCAGAUAGUCGAAUGACUUGGAAAAGUCAGUCAAAGAGGGUAAAAACCCCGUAGACGAAAUGUGGAAGACACCUAGGAGGAUCCUGAGUACGGCGGAACACGAGAAAUUCCGUCGGAAUCCGGGAGGACCAUCUCCCAAGGCUAAAUACUCCCUAGUGACCGAUAGUGAACCAGUACCGUGAGGGAAAGGUGAAAAGCACCCCGGAAGGGGAGUGAAAUAGAACCUGAAACCGUGUGCCUACAACAAGUCAAAGCCCGUUAAUGGGUGAUGGCGUGCCUUUUGUAGAAUGAACCGGCGAGUUACGAUUGCAUGCGAGGUUAAGUUGAAGAGACGGAGCCGCAGCGAAAGCGAGUCUGAAUAGGGCGUUUGAGUAUGUAGUCGUAGACCCGAAACCAUGUGAUCUACCCAUGUCCAGGUUGGAAGGUGCGGUAAAACGCACUGGAGGACCGAACCCACGUACGUUGAAAAGUGCGGGGAUGAGGUGUGGGUAGCGGAGAAAUUCCAAACGAACUUGGAGAUAGCUGGUUCUCUCCGAAAUAGCUUUAGGGCUAGCCUCGGAAUUGAGAAUGAUGGAGGUAGAGCACUGUUUGGACUAGGGGCCCAUCUCGGGUUACCGAAUUCAGAUAAACUCCGAAUGCCAUUCAUUCAUAUCCGGGAGUCAGACUGUGAGUGAUAAGAUCCAUAGUCGAAAGGGAAACAGCCCAGACCACCAGCUAAGGUCCCAAAAUAUAUGUUAAGUGGAAAAGGAUGUGGGGUUGCACAGACAACUAGGAUGUUGGCUUAGAAGCAGCCACCAUUUAAAGAGUGCGUAAUAGCUCACUAGUCGAGUGACCCUGCGCCGAAAAUGUACCGGGGCUAAACAUAUUACCGAAGCUGUGGAGUACACCUUUAGGUGUAUUGGUAGGAGAGCGUUCUAAGGGCGUGUGAAGGCAGAUCGUGAGGACUGCUGGAGCGCUUAGAAGUGAGAAUGCCGGUAUGAGUAGCGAAAGACAGGUGAGAAAUCCUGUCCACCGAAUGACUAAGGUUUCCUGGGGAAGGCUCGUCCGCCCAGGGUUAGUCGGGACCUAAGCCGAGGCCGACAGGCGUAGGCGAUGGAUAACAGGUUGAUAUUCCUGUACCCGUUGUUUUUGUUUGAGCAAUGGAGGGACGCAGGAGGCUAAGGAAUGCAGACGAUCGGAAAAUGUCUGUCCAAGCAGUAAGUCUGAAGAGGAGUCAAAUGCUUCUUUCUUAAGGACAAGCUGUGAUGGGGAGGGAAAUAAUAGUACCGAAGUUCCUGAUGUCACACUGCCGAGAAAAGCUUCUAGUGAGAAAACAGCGGCCCGUACCGCAAACCGACACAGGUAGUCGAGGAGAGAAUCCCUAAGGUGAGCGAGAGAACUCUCGUUAAGGAACUCGGCAAAAUGACCCCGUAACUUCGGGAGAAGGGGGUGCUGAUCAUACGAUCAGCCGCAGUGAAUAGGCCCAAGCGACUGUUUAUCAAAAACACAGGUCUCUGCAAAAUCGUAAGAUGAAGUAUAGGGGCUGACCGCCCUGCCCGGUGCUGGAAGGUUAAGAGGAGUGCUUAGCGCAAGCGAAGGUACGAAUUGAAGCCCCAGUAAACGGCGGCCCGUAACUAUAACGGUCCUAAGGUAGCGAAAUUCCUUGUCGGGUAAGUUCCGACCCGCACGAAAGGGCGUAACGAUUUGGGCACUGUCUCAACGAGAGACUCGGUGAAAUUUUAGUACCUGUGAAGAUGCAGGUUACCCGCGACAGGACGGAAAGACCCCAUGGAGCUUUACUGUAGUUUGAUAUUGAGUGUCUGUACCGCAUGUACAGGAUAGGUAGGAGCCGUAGUAAAUCGGAACGCUAGUUUCGAUGGAGGCGCUGGUGGGAUACUACCCCUGCGUUAUGGCCACUCUAACCCGCACCACUAAUCGUGGUGGGAGACAGUGUCAGAUGGGCAGUUUGACUGGGGCGGUCGCCUCCUAAAAGGUAACGGAGGCGCCCAAAGGUUCCCUCAGAAUGGUUGGAAAUCAUUCGAAGAGUGUAAAGGCAGAAGGGAGCUUGACUGCGAGACCAACAAGUCGAGCAGGGACGAAAGUCGGGCUUAGUGAUCCGGUGGUUCCGCAUGGAAGGGCCAUCGCUCAACGGAUAAAAGCUACCCUGGGGAUAACAGGCUUAUCUCCCCCAAGAGUCCACAUCGACGGGGAGGUUUGGCACCUCGAUGUCGGCUCGUCGCAUCCUGGGGCUGUAGUCGGUCCCAAGGGUUGGGCUGUUCGCCCAUUAAAGCGGCACGCGAGCUGGGUUCAGAACGUCGUGAGACAGUUCGGUCCCUAUCCGUCGCGGGCGUUGGAAAUUUGAGAGGAGCUGUCCUUAGUACGAGAGGACCGGGAUGGACUUACCGCUGGUGUACCAGUUGUUCUGCCAAGGGCAUUGCUGGGGUAGCUAUGUAGGGAAGGGAUAAACGCUGAAAGCAUCUAAGUGUGAAGCCCACCUCAAGAUGAGAUUUCCCAUUUCUUUAAGAAAGUAAGAUCCCUGAGAGAUGAUCAGGUAGAUAGGUCAGGAGUGGAAGUACAGUGAUGUAUGGAGCGGACUGAUACUAAUCGAUCGAGGACUUAACCAA
rnacentral:rRNA from 1 species